rnacentral:lncRNA from 1 species
CUUUUUCCUUUGCCAAGCUGGAUGGUGAGAGUUGGACGUCUGGAAGCUUCCCUUGAGAGGAUCUCAUGUAGCCCACUCUGACCUUGAACUCACCACGGCGCUGAGACUGGCCUUCCAUUUCUGAUUCUUCUGCCUUCAUAUCCACACGUGCUGGAUUACAGGCGUGGGCUUCGACGUCUGCACCCGACACACAUCGAUUUGUUCACUCUGUGGAUGGUAAAGUGAUGGCUCAGAGAGGCACAUCUCCAAGCACAGCACAGCAGAAACUAUGUCAGUCCAGUGACCCGACUGCUGACCAGGUGUUUGCACAGGGACAAUCUCUGCUGCUGUCCCUAACACCGCCCCCCACCUUUUCAGUCUUGUCUGCCAGGCUAGUGACACUUCUCAGUAAAGCUUGUGUGAC